rnacentral:rRNA from 1 species
GAUGAACGCUAGCUACAGGCUUAACACAUGCAAGUCGAGGGACCGGCGCACGGGUGAGUAACACGUAUCCAACCUGCCCUUUACUCGGGGAUAGCCUUUCGAAAGAAAGAUUAAUACCCGAUAUAAAGGAUGGGGAUGCGUUCCAUUAGUUUGUUGGUGAGGUAACGGCCCACCAAGCCUUCGAUGGAUAGGGGUUCUGAGAGGAAGGUCCCCCGAAGUGGAACUGCGACACGGUCCAAAAGCCUACGGGAGGCAGCAGUGAGGAAUAUUGGUCAAUGGGCGCUAGCCUGAACCAGCCAAGUAGCGUGAAGGAUGAAUGCUUAUGGGUCGUAAACUUCUUUUAUAUAAGAAUAUGUAUUAGAUGAAUAAGGAUCGGCUAACUCCGUGCCAGCAGCCGCGGUAAUUC